AUGGGAGAAGCUGUAGGGUCGAAUGCUGCUCUGCCAGAGAUGCUCAGGAAAGGCUGUGGCCAAGGAGCUCCAGCAGUUUCUGUAGAGGGCCGGCCCUCUCCACUCAAUUUCCUCUCCUUGCUCCCCGCUUGUGCCCACUGCUGCCUUGUAAGGUUUUUGGAGGAAGUGUCCCAGAUGUCAAUGGUGUGGUGCAGUUCUGGAAACACAGAAAACCCGGCAGGAACCACAGACCAAGUGAACAGACCUGAAUCAGGAUCCUGGCUGCGUUUUGGCUCCAGAUUGCUACCUGGCCAAGCCUGGCUGCUGGAGGAGCAAAGCUCGCAAGUCCUCAGGCUGAGAAUGAAAGGAGCAGGAAGAACUGGCUGCACUCAUGAUUCCAGUGGCAGGGCUCCUGCUCUGGAGCAGACCAGCAGCAGUCUGACCAUCUAUGGACAAGAGGUUGCUUCUACCAGUGCCCUGCGUUGGGAUCUGAGUCUCUUGAAAUGCCUGGGAUCCUACGUCCCACAGCUGGCCUGCAUCAUCACUGUUCAUAUCAGGCAUGCGCUCACCGCUCAGGAUCACUGUCCUGUCAUCUCAUCCUCAGACCCCAGCGUUAUCAGUUGUUAAUCAAUUCGGAGCACAGGAAGAAUGGAAACAUGAAUGAGACCAUCAGUCAAGUCAGCUAAAACCCAUGGACUGAGUCUAAAGGAAAUAUGCAAAAGCAAACUAAUGUGGCUUUGGAGCAUUCAAAGGACCUUUGGCAAACAUUGGCACACCUCAUCUCCAGGGUCAGGAGGGGCUAAGCCGGUGUACUGGCCAUUAUCAUCUGCUUCGACCAGCCAAGAGCAUCAAAUUGAGUUCUAAGACUCCAGAACACUAGCUCUGAAUCUGCUGGGAGCUUGUUUAGUUCUGCCAAAGGUGAGCUUCUCUUUGAGGGGAAGAACAUGACUCCCCCGGCCUACUCCGACCAUAACCCCUUCUGCUUAGUUUCUUAGUUUCAGCACUACUCCCUGCAGUCAGAUUUAGCUUGCCCUUUGCCUUCUCCUGCUGGGGACAUGAGGCAGCAUGUCUCAGCCCCACGAUGCCACAAGCUCCCUUUGGUCCACUUCCAGGUUUGGGUGAAUGGCUGAGGGAGCAUCCUGGGGCUUUCCCACCAUGAGAAACACCUGCACUACCUAUUAUACUGCCCAGCAUAAGGAGCCAUAGGCUCCGAGCAGCCUUACAGAGCCACUACAUGCGCUGCACUGGCCAGUGCAUCUUGGGGACACCUCUG
rnacentral:lncRNA from 1 species